GAUGAACGCUAGCUACAGGCUUAACACAUGCAAGUCGAGGGGAAACGAUAGAGAAAGCUUGCUUUUUCUAGGCGUCGACCGGCGCACGGGUGAGUAACGCGUAUCCAACCUGCCCACCACUUGGGGAUAACCUUGCGAAAGUAAGACUAAUACCCAAUGACGUCUCUAGAAGACAUCUGAAAGGGAUUAAAGAUUUAUCGGUGAUGGAUGGGGAUGCGUCUGAUUAGCUUGUUGGCGGGGUAACGGCCCACCAAGGCAACGAUCAGUAGGGGUUCUGAGAGGAAGGUCCCCCACAUUGGAACUGAGACACGGUCCAAACUCCUACGGGAGGCAGCAGUGAGGAAUAUUGGUCAAUGGGCGAGAGCCUGAACCAGCCAAAGUAGCGUGCAGGAUGACGGCCCUAUGGGUUGUAAACUGCUUUUAUAAGGGAAUAAAGUGAGUCUCGUGAGGCUUUUUGCAUGUACCUUAUGAAUAAGGACCGGCUAAAUUCCGUGUCAGCCGCCGCCGUAAC
rnacentral:rRNA from 1 species